rnacentral:rRNA from 1 species
GCGCAGGCGGUUGGAAUAGUCUGAUGUGAAAGCCCACGGCUCAACCGUGGAGGGUCAUUGGAAACUGGGGGACUUGAGUGCAGAAGAGGAGAGUGGAAUUCCAUGUGUAGCGGUGAAAUGCGCAGAGAUAUGGAGGAACACCAGUGGCGAAGGCGGCUCUCUGGUCUGUAACUGACGCUGAUGUGCGAAAGCGUGGGGAUCAA